GCGAACGGGUGAGUAACACGUGGGUGACCUGCCCUCCACUCUGGGAUAAGCCCGGGAAACUGGGUCUAAUACCGGAUAGGACCACUGAUCGCAUGGUUGGUGGUGGAAAGUUUUUUCGGUGGGGGAUGGGCCCGCGGCCUAUCAGCUUGUUGGUGGGGUGAUGGCCUACCAAGGCGGUGACGGGUAGCCGGCCUGAGAGGGCGACCGGCCACACUGGGACUGAGACACGGCCCAGACUCCUACGGGAGGCAGCAGUGGGGAAUAUUGCACAAUGGGCGAAAGCCUGAUGCAGCAACGCCGCGUGAGGGAUGACGGCCUUCGGGUUGUAAACCUCUUUUAGUAGGGAAGAAGCGAGAGUGACGGUACCUGCAGAAAAAGCACCGGCUAACUACGUGCCAGCAGCCGCGGUAAUACGUAGGGUGCAA
rnacentral:ncRNA from 1 species